UACCAGUAGCCCUACUUCUGCCUGAACUUCUGCUGACAUUUUCUGUGAAGACUGUGAUAAUCAAAGCACUCUUGGACCACACCUAGAUCCUCUAGCUAGCAAGGAAAUUAAUGCGUGGGUGAGCUCAGAGAAAACUUAUUGAUUUUGGAAAGACCAUGAACGAAAUGCUAAUGAUAAUAACUGUAUUGGCUAAGAAUGUACAAUGAAGAUUAAUGUAUAGAUUAUUUUUAAUAAAAGUAUAAACUAAUUCACAAGAGAAAACAAUUCAAAUAAUAAUGAUAAUAAUAAUAAUAUUAAUAAAUAAUCAUAGAACUAUAGUAUCUUUUUAAGUUUAGAGAACU